rnacentral:rRNA from 1 species
GACAGAGGGUGCAAACGUUGUUCGGAAUUACUGGGCGUAAAGCGCGUGUAGGCUGCUUCGCAAGUCGGGUGUGAAAGCCCUGGGCUCAACCUAGGAAGUGCACUCGAAACUGCGAAGCUGGAGUCCUGGAGAGGAAGGCGGAAUUCUCGGUGUAGAGGUGAAAUUCGUAGAUAUCGAGAGGAACACCGGUGGCGAAGGCGGCCUUCUGGACAGUGACGUGAACGCUGAGA